CACCUUCGAAGGCUAAGUACUCCUGACUGACCGAUAGUGAACCAGUACCGUGAGGGAAAGGUGAAAAGCACCCCGACGAGGGGAGUGAAACAGUACCUGAAACCGAACGCCUACAAUCAGUUGGAGCAUCCUUGCGAUGUGACAGCGUACCUUUUGUAUAAUGGGUCAUCGACUUGGUCUAUCUAGCAAGCUUAAGCCGUUAGGUGUAGGCGCAGCGAAAGCGAGUCUUAAUAGGGCGCAUGAGUUAGAUGGAUCAGACCCGAAACCGAGUGAUCUAGGCAUGGCCAGGUUGAAGAUACGGUAACACGUAUUGGAGGACCGAACCCACAUCCGUUGAAAAGGAUCGGGAUGAGCUGUGCCUAGGGGUGAAAGGCCAAUCAAACUCGGAGAUAGCUGGUUCUCCGCGAAAUCUAUUUAGGUAGAGCGUCAUCCGAAUACCCCGGGGGGUAGAGCACUGGAUGGGUAAUGGGGCCCCACAGGCUUACUGAUCCUAACCAAACUCCGAAUACCCGGGAGUACUAGAUGGCAGACACACGGCGGAUGCUAACGUCCGUCGUGGAGAGGGAAACAACCCUGACCGACAGUUAAGGCCCCCAAUUCAUGGCUAAGUGGGAAAGCAGGUGGGACGACCAAAACAACCAGGAGGUUGGCUUAGAAGCAGCCAUCCUUUAAAGAUAGCGUAACAGCUCACUGGUCUAAAUAAGUUGUCCUGCGGCGAAGAUGUAACGGGGCUCAAGCCAUGAGCCGAAACUUCGGAUGCAUUUAAUGCAUGGUAGCGGAGCGUAGUGUGACAUAGUUUCCUGUCUCUUUUGAUCCCUUUGGGGUCAUGGGAGACGCGAAGCUUUCUGUGAAGCCGGGCUGUAAGGCAUCCGGUGGAGAGAUCACUAGUGAGAAUGAUGACAUGAGUAGCGACAAAGAGUGUGAGAGACACUCUCGCCGAAAGUCCAAGGGUUCCUGCUUAAAGCUAAUCUGAGCAGGGUAAGCCGACCCCUAAGUCGAGGCCGAAGGGCGUAGACGAUGGGAACCAGGUUAAUAUUCCUGGGCCAGGAGAUGGUGACGGAUUGUGAAGGUUGUUCCUCCUUAUUGGAUUGGAGGGGCCGCUGAUCAGUCCCUGGAAAUAGCCCUCCAUAAGAUCGUACCCUAAACCGACACAGGUGGACUGGUAGAGAAUACCAAGGCGCUUGAGAGAACUACAUUGAAGGAACUCGGCAAAAUACCUCCGUAAGUUCGCGAGAAGGAGGCCCAGUUUCUACGCAAGUAUUGGCUGGGGGCACAAACCAGGGGGUGGCGACUGUUUACUAAAAACACAGGGCUCUGCGAAGUCGCAAGACGACGUAUAGGGUCUGACGCCUGCCCGGUGCCUGAAGGUUAAAAGGAGGGGUGAGAGCUCCGAAUUGAAGCCCAGGUAAACGGCGGCCGUAACUAUAACGGUCCUAAGGUAGCGA
rnacentral:rRNA from 1 species